AGGUGGUGGUGGGUUGACUGAGGUGGAACUGAGGAGAAACAUGUUAGACGUCUGUUUGAAGGGGAGAGGCUAACAGAAUUUUCUGGUGAAUCGGAUGUGGGAUGGAAAGAAUGAAGUUGAUGUUGCUCAAAUGGAAUCCUGGGAGUCGAGUGGAUUUGAGAGAAGGGCAGCUUGGGUGGGGUUAAGGGGGUGGUUGGCAGGUGGCUAUCAUAGUCCGGAGACAGGACUGUGAUCUGUCUGGAGUUCCAUGCAUGAGUGUCCAGGGUGUGUAGUCUGACUGAUAGUCAGGAGUCUGGAGGAGAUCAUCUAGGGAGUAUGAAGAGAAGAGGUCCAGAGACUGAGCCCCACCUCCCCCCUCUCCCAGUGUUUAAGAGGCAGCAAGAGGGGGGCGGAAACCAGUACGGGGAACUGAGAGGGAGCCGUCAGUCAUAAAGCGAGCUAAAAGAGCACAGUGUCCCAGAAACCACACAAAUUAAUGGUCACAAGAAGGUGGAAAUUGAUCAGUUUUGCCCGUUGCCAUUGGUAAUUGGGGUAAGAUAAUAUUGAGACUGCCCUUUGGAGUUAACAAUGCAGAGGUCUUAUCAAAGCUAGGAGCUUGUUUAGGAAGCUUAGCUUGGAAUGGGUUAAACACAGAUAAAUCUUUGGAGAGUUUGCUCCGAGUGAAGGCAGGGAUGGGGCCAUUGCUGUCCAAGGAUGUUGGGUCAAGACAGGCAGGAGUAAAGUGUGUUUUGUGUUAAUGUGAAUGGCUGGCAGAGCGUGGGAAAUUGAUGGUGGAGGAGAGGGACAGUUGCUAGAGCAGUGUCAUUGUGUAGGUAGAAGGGAUGGGGCUCUCGAAUGGAAGUGGAGGGGUUGGCCUUGGCUCGGGGUCCGGGCAGGUCAUGCAGCAGAGGAAAGGACAGGAGGUACCAGGUGUGGUGCAAGCAGCAGCAGGUUGGGGAACUCGUGUUGAGACUGGGUCAAACUUCUUUUUGGAAUGUUUCCAUGUUCUCAGUGAAAUAGGGAACAAGGUGAUCAGCUGGGAGGGAGGAUGGAUGAGGAAGUAGUAUAGUAUUUAAGGUUUGAGAGAAGAGGAUAUAAAAUGGGCUAGCAGAGGGAGAAAGAAGGUAUUGAAGAGAUGAGCCAAGAUGGCCAAGAGUACAAAGGGGCCUGGGGGGAUCAUCCAAGGGAAUUGAGCCUUCCUCUUUCAGCUUGCUGUAUCAGGACAACUUGCCCAGAAUAUCUGCCAAAGUAACCAAUAUUCCAUUGUAUAAACACACCUCAAUUUGUUUAUCCAUUGACCUCUUAUUGCACGUUAAUAUUGUUUCCAGUGUGGGGUUUUUAUGAAUACAGCUGCUAUGAACAUUUUUUUGUACAAGUCUUUAUACGGGCAUAUGUUUUCAUUUCCCCUGGGUAGGUUCCUAGAAGCAGAAGCACUGGGUCGUGCAAUAGACAUAUAUUUAACUUGGUAAGAAACUGCCAGUUUUCGGAAGUGGCGGUUCUGCAAAAGUAAGCAGGCACAUGCUUCACCCUGUUGGGUAGAAAAUAAGCUUAUAGUAAAUGGAAAGUUCAAGGUAGUAGAAAUUCAUUGUCUUGGCUUAGUCAUUACUGAAUCUUAGCACUCACUGAACUAUUAUAGACCCCGUUCCCCCAAAAUCUACAUGGAGGACACAAAGUAGGUCAUCUCCAGAGUCCCUUUCAGAUCCCACAUUCUGCGAAUUUUCUUGAAAUUCAACCACAUGGUUGUAAACAGACAGAAAGCCACAUAUCUGCACAUUUUUAUUCUGUGGGAGUUGAGCUGCAUUUCAUGUACUGGACACGGGAAGAAAAUCACGAACAUAAGGUGCAGAGGCAAAAGGAUUAGGCUCCUGUGAAGCCCACAAGUUGCAUAUGAAAAUGAUAUAUUCCUUAAAAGAACACAUUGUAAGGUGAUAGAGAAUUCAACUCAAAAAUUUAUAUUAAAAAGUUGUGUCCCUAUGGAUAGCUCCCAUUUUGUUUUCAUUAGGAUGUAUAUAUUGGGAGAUGCAGUUGGGGGGUUGAACAGACUGCUUACACGUGCACUGUGUGGGUUGCUGCGGCGUGCUUUGAAAUGGGAGCAACACAACAUUGGCCCCUGUUACUACUGCAGGACCACUGGACAGGGGUUCGACUCACCUGGGUGCUCUCCAGCCAAGAGCAGAGAACGUUUUUUUCCUGUUUCCUGCCAGCGACAGGAGAGAUAGCCCCUUUGCCGUCUUGUCUGUAAAUGGAUCUGCAUGUCCACGGCUGCCCAUCUCCAAGCCGCCUUGGCUAUCCGUCCCCAUCCUUCAGCUCCGCACAGUGAAGAGUACGCUUCGGCAAAGACUGAGGAGUCAUGGUUCACGUGCUUGAAGAUGUCUGAUAAAUAGAGGAUGUUAGAAAAGACAGAUUGGACAUCAGUGUGAGAUCGCAGACGUCUGUAAUUUGUCUUUCAGGUUAAUGAGAAUUAGUGGUGGGGACGGAAAACCAGUUGGAGGCAGCUCCAAGCUAGUGGGGAGUCUUGACUAAGCUGUGAUUGGCUGUAGAGGCAAAUGACCAGCUGGUGCCCGUGCCCCCUCGGGGUCCUGGCAUUGUGAGACCCUCCUCCACUCAGGGCAGGACGAAUGCCCCUCUGCCCGUCACAGCUUUCUGAGAAGGGAUUCUGAAGGGUCUGAGUAUCAAAAGGCAUUAUAGGGGAUCUUGGAUUUGAACGUUAGAGGUCAGGCCAAAUUCUCGUUACAUGCGGAGAACCUUCCAUAGCAUCCCUGGCCUGACUGGCAUUCUGGCCUCUGCUUGAGUACCUGGAGUGACCUGGAACUCACUCCCUCAGCGUAUUUACUGGAGAACACAUGUGCUUUUCAGGACAUUCCUGUAGGGUACCACCUUACUGAGCCAGUACCGUGGGACCUUUCUUCCAUGACAUGAGGAAAGAAUCUAAAAACAAAAGCAGGGCGCCUGGGUGGCUCAGUAGGUUAAGCAUCUGCCUUCGACUCAGGUUGUGAUUCUCAGGGUCCCAGGAACAAGUCCCACAUCAGGCUCCCCACUCAACGGGGAGUCUGCUUCUCCCUCUGACUGUCCCCCCUCUCGUGCUUUCUCUCUCUCACACUUUCGCAAUGAAUAAAUAAAAUCUUAUAAAAAAAAAAAAAGCAUAUGCACAGCUAGCAUGGGAUGGCAGCUCUGGCUGGUUGUGUUUCUCUCCCUAGGUGGGAAUGGAUCAGGGGCACAAUAGGCAUUUUACUUCUGUUCUUUCUAGGGGAUCUGAAGAAGCACAAGCAAGCAUUCUUUUCCCGAGUCAGGGACCAUUGUUAUCUUAAGUGGCCCUGAUUUAUCUUUACGUUGAUGUAUAAAGAUGACUCCUUUCUCACCUUGGGCUUAUGUUCUUCAUAGCUGUUGAAAAGUCCAUGUAUUUGUAAUGCUAAAGCAGUGAUUUUUCAACCAGGGUGGUUUUUGUUCCCCAAGGGACAUUUAACAAUUCCUGUAGACAUCGCUGUUGCCACAUCCGGUGUGGGGGAUGCUACCGGUGUUUACUGAGGAGAAGCCAGGGAUGUUCUUAAACAUCCCACAAUGCACUGGAUGGUCCUGCACAACAAAGAAUUAUCUAGUCCAAAGUGUCUUUGCGGGGGGAUUGAGAAACUCUGGUCUAAAGGAGCCAGUGGUUCCAACCAACCAGUGGUACCUUCCCAUGGUAGCCUGCACAAUUGAUGGUUCUGUGUUGGGGCACGCAGCAUUGUUUGUAUCUAGGAAGACUCAAGGGUUUUAAUUUCAUGAGCAGAAGAGCUUCUGCAUUUAUUUAUAUCCUUUACGGCUCUUACAGAAGAGUUAGAGUAGGAAACCAAGCAGUGGUUUUGCUUGGUUUCAUCUGUAACUUCACUCAGAGUGCAAGAUACCUUUGAAUCCUAAAUAGGGACUUAUAUUAAAAGGCCUCUCGGGGUUUUUUGUUUUGGGGGGGGUUUUUUUGAUACAUCCAACUUAUCACUAAUAAACCAAGAAUGUCUAGGUUACCUCCAAUUAAGUGAAGAGUGAGCAGUCAGGACCAAAGAGAUUUAAAAGGCUUUGUGUUUUCAGGAGUUUCUUCAUACGUUUCAGAAAAUGGUUUGCCAUUUAAUAAUAAACGAUACACCAGGUUGUAUCGUUUAUUAUUCAGUGGUGGGUUUUUUUCGCUGGUUUUGUUUGUGUGGUAGGGGACACAGAAGGAAAAGUGGUUUGAAAGGAAAUCAUGUGAGUGUGUGUUUCACGUUGUCAUGGGAAGGCAAAGUCAACAGCGCGGGUUUUGAUGUGUAAUAGGAGUAGAACAGACAUAGGCAUUGAAUAAUUUCCCACCCACCCUUUUUGGAGUAGAAGCCAUGCUGAGAGAGGACGCAGAAGAGCUUGUCAGUUAAGGCAGCCACUAAUUAGAUGAGCUUCAGUGCCUCUCUGGAUGGCUUCCAGAAGCACACUGCCCUGUCACACUGGGCAUGGGUGUCAGUUCAGGCUCUCUCGUCCCCCAUCCGUUUGCCUCAGUCCAAACCAAACUUGAAAUUGGAGGGGGUGAACAUUUCUGGGGUGCCCCUGUGCACUGGGCUAUCUGUGGGAGGUAUGGGGUAGCGGGAUGGAAACCGGAAGCAUACAUUCCUUAGGGGCAUAAAAGUAGGGUCAAGGAGGGGUUCCCUGGGCCCACAAUGGAUAUAACUCAGGGAAAUACGGGGGUGGCGGUCUACUGGUGGGAUAAGCCUGGGACAGUGGGAUUCUGAGUUACCCCACCCGGUGCAGUUCUCUUUGUCUUCUGGCCGGUAAGCAUGAUCUUUGAAUGACUGUUUUCACUUUUUAGAGGAAAACUAAGAUUAGUGAGCUAUUGUUGAAGGAGUGGUGGACCCUUUGGAGUUAGAAGGUAUUGUAGAAAUCCUCCUUUGGUAGUGCUUUUUAGUUAUGUUAAAAAAAAAAAAAAGAAAGAAAGAAAAGAAAAAAAAUCACCCUCCUAUGUUUCCUUUUGUUGUGAGGCUCAUGGAAACGUGGGGCCCACUGAGGCCCAGCGGUGCAUGCCGCUGGGGCCGUGUGCUCUCCAAAGUGUGAGUGCUCCCCGCAGCGCAGGCAGGACCUAGCACCAGUGCGCCCUGGGCUUGUUUGCGGCUUAAAUCAUCUCAGGGCUCUGACUUCUUCCCUCCGGAGAUGCGGUCUAAACUACCCCCCGCCGAUGAUGGCAUUGCAGCGCUCAUGCAGAAGCUUGUCUUCUGAUCCUCUCCCACGGAACAUGACAGUUUUCUCUGUGAUGGCCGAAUUAAUUAUCAGAAAUGGUUUGUUGGCAGACAGUUGGAUGCUAAUUAUGAUUGGAACCUCUGGGCCCUUCCACCCAAAUCUGCUGAUGUUUGUUGGUGGUGGUAAAAAUGAAAAACCAUUAACUAUGAAAGGAUUUCUUGUUGCGGGGGCAACUCAGAGCAAGGCAGAUCAGGCCGGGCAGCUUUGCUUGAGUUAACUGGGAUCUGAGCCACAGCUGCUCACCCCGUGGUUGUGAGGAAAGGAUUGAAGAAGUGGUUAAUUAAUUGUUCACUUUCUGGUAAAGAGGGGAUGGAGAUUGGAUAUUUCAAUGCAAAGCCAAAAACUGGCAUUGAUUAAAUUUGAGGUGACAUUUGGGGAGGUGUCCUCAGAAUGUCUAAGUUUGAUUAUCCAAUUUGACUUCACGCUGUGUCCCGGGUUUGUGAAAUCUUUCUAGCAGGUUCCACCUGGGAAGAAUUAUUUUCAAUUAAAUGGAUCAGGACCACUGGAGAAAGAAUCAUGAAACGUACCUGUAGCAUGGGGCCAUGUUGGGAACAAAGCUGCCCAGCUCACAAAGGGAUGUUUUGGGGGUCGGCCUGUGCUAAGAUGGGCUCUGGGCAUCUUUUCAUUCUCUCUCAUCAUCAGUUACGUUAAUGAGGUGUAGACAUGAAGGCAGGUGCGUAUUUCAUGGAGCUGUGUGACGCAUGGUGGAUGCUAUUGCCGGCUCUCAUUGGGGACAAGCAAGGAGGAGGCCAACAGACCCUUGAUCACUGGAAGGGGAUGAUGACCUACUGGGAGAUUAUAAUAGGGCAAUCAAGGAUUAGUGGGGAAAGUAGAGAAAAUAAGAACAGGAAACUUUUUAAUCAUUUCAUGUAGGUAUGUGAAUGGCUGGCUUUCUUUAGUGAGGCUGCUGGUAUGACACAGGCAGUGUUCCAAUACAUUCUUAAAUAAUCUCUAAUGAAUAAGUAAACAAAGAACACCCCUAAAUACUCUUUUAGGGGUCCCAUCAAUUGUAAGGGAGUCUUUUCCUCAAGGAAAGUUGAGUGACUCAUAAUUUCUGGCUAAAUUCGGUGGCCGAUCUAAAAUGACAAUAUAAAAAAAUACAUGUUGUUUAAUUAAUGUUGCAUUUCAGUCGGUAAUCAUCAGAUAAGGUUGUCUGGCAGAAACAUAAAUUUUCCUUUAGGUUUUACUUGGGGAAGCAACAGUACAGUGAGUCCCCACUCAUGAACCACUCUUAGCACAGAAAAUAUACACAGAGGCAAAGACGGGUGCAUAAAAAUAAACUACUUUGUUCCCAGCAGAACAGGGUGUGCUUGGGGACGUGACUGGGUCAGAAGCGGCUAUUUUAAAGUCCCUGAAAUUUUUCUCCACUUACACUUUCAGUUGAAGUUCCUGAAACUUCUUCUUCUAAGGCAUAAAUGCCACGUUAAGAUGGAUGGUAAGUCUAAGGGAAUUAUACUCAUUAAAUCUCAUUUCUCUUUGCCUUUUCCACCUUUUUCUUGAUGAUUUCAGUUCUUACCAUGCAGCAAUUCAGUGACCUCAGUUCUCCCUCUUAGGAACCAGAGAGGAAAGCCCUCUGUGUUUACAGAGACUCAGAGCCUCCCCUCUGUCCCAGUUCUGCUCACGGGGAGCCGUGCUGUCACUGAGCUCCACCUAGCACAGGUAGUGAUCGGUGGUUUGGCUCUGUCGGAAGGGGGAAGAAGGUAGGGACCAAGCCAACAGCAUGAACACCUGGAUUGGUUCAUGAGUGUCUUCAUUCAUUUAUUCACAUGCUCGUUCACUCACUGGUUCACAGAAACUUGCGGGGUAUUUUAGGAUGCUGGGAACCACGCCCAUCCUUGUGCAGAAAGCAUGGACCCCACGCUGGGGGUUCAGUCCCCAACUGUGCAUUCUAGCAACUCUGCGUUGUUACCGGGGGUGCAGACGCCAAGUUAAUACAGCCCUAGAGCUGGAUUUCCAGCUGGGCGUGUUCCUUUUUUAAAUGGACACAAAGAUUAUAACUUUGCAUACCCUGGUUUUCGAAUAUUAGAAAAUCACAUACUCACAUCAGCAGUUUAAUCAGGUGGGUAUCUCCGGCUUCUGCCAACUUGUUUGAGACCUUGUGGGUGACUUUGGGUAGGGUGAGGCAGUUGGACUGACAAGAGCCUGGCCCCCAGGCUUCAAGGAGGCUCUGAGCACGUUUCUGCCACCGACCACCUGUCACCUUGGCCAACUCAUUUGCCUCAACCACACACCAGUUUCUCAUCCGUGAAACAACACGUUUAACCAAAGGCGAUACUCAUUUUUUUAAUCGAUUUUUUUUAUUUUAAUGGGUAAAAAAAUGAUUUUAAAGUUUAAUCAGUCUAAUAAUGGUGUUACUAAAAUGGAAAGGGAGACCAAACAAAAAAAAAAAUUUUUUUUCCAUUUGGGACAAGUUGAAUUUCAGAAAUACCAUCAUCUGUGCUGCCUGAGGUUAGAGACAGUAUUUCUAAGUACACCUGUCAUCUAGUGAGUAAUUAGAUGUGUCCAGCCUAACUUACAUGAUUUCAUUCAUUCUUCACAACCUUAAGAGGGAGGUUCUGUUAGUUUCCUUGUACCCUUAUGAUGUAUGUACUGUCCCUAUUUGCAGAUAUGGAGAUAGAGACCCAGAGAGACGAGGUAACUUGUCUGGGGUACACAUCAGCGAAUGUUAAAACAGGGUUUGAAUCCAGAGCUUCCGUAUGACUCGCAUAAUGUUCUGAUCAGCUUUCUGGCCACACCACCUGUCACAAAGGAGGGGUCCAGUAAUUGGUGGAUACAUGGUGGGUAGAAUAGGAUGGAACCUUUUAAUGUGAUCACUUUGAAGACCUGUACUCAGGUAGUCCUAUUUCCCGCCGUGUUCCUGGAUCAGUGCUGCCAAUGGGUCCUGUUUUAAACCCUCGCUAAUUAAAUAAUGACUUGAUCUCUGGCCCCUUGGGACACAAGUGUAGUCUCCCGAACAACAGCGUUGGCAUCACCUGGUAACUGGUCCGAAAGGCAGGAUCUUGGGCCCCACCCCAGACCCACUGAAUCAGAAUCAGCAUGAGCACUGGUUCCCCAGGUGACUGCUGUGCGCACUGAAGUUUGGGAGCUUUGCACACCUGGCAGGACCCCUCGCGAACCCUGUGCUGCUCGGCAGAAGAACACAGUUGACUAUCACGUCACGGUGACCACGCUGAUAGUGCUGUGGCCAGGAGUGAUGCAUUUGAGGAGUGUGUGUAAGGUACUGAAGAACGGGACACUCGGGGGGAAUGAACGCAACCCGAAUGCAAGAGCAGCUGUAAAAAGAAAAAUCUUUUCCCGUGGACCUUGCUUUUUAUGUGGUGGAGGAAGAAAGGUUUUUUUUGUUGUUGUUUUUUUGUUUUUACUUUAGAAAAAAACCAUCCCUGGUUGCUUGGAAGUUCAAACAGUAAAGUCCAACUAGUAAAAAGUAAAAAUUAAUAAAAAGAGAGAAGGCUAAAGCUUAGUUACAAACCAUAGUUCUCAAGGUUACUAUUUUGAGCUAAUCGCAGGACUCCCUGCCCCUUUGUUUUCCCCCUAAAAGUUCGUAUUUCUUAUAAAACAGCUCCAAAGUGAAAAAUCAUAUGUGUCCUAUAAAAUAAUUACUCAUCUUUACCAUUAAGAACAAAUACACAGCAGGCAGCAAGGAAUGCCUUUCCUACCUUCUCAUGUGGCUGUUUUGUAAAUGCACAAAAUUUUAUAGAACGUGCAAGAAAAAUGUAAAAUUCCUUGCUAUCAGUGGAUUCUACCUAACAAGUGAAAAUUGAAGCUUAGCUCAUUUAGAGGCAAUUAUAUGAUGUGUUCAGUGAGGUUUUUAAGACUUAUAUUGAAAAAAUUAAGUAUUAUGUACAAAACAUAAACGGAUUAUACUAUAAAUCGAAUCUAUUGUGAAAUGUGAGAAUGUAAGUGUGUUAAUACGUGUGUGUACGUAAUGUGUUCUGAUGGGGAGGAAGAUUAUUACUAACUCCUUGUUUUUAUAGUGUGUUGAUAUUUUACAGAAGGUUAAAGUAAAUGAAGUGUUGCAAGGAUUUCCAAAGCUAUCCAUUGUAACUUCUAGGAUCAUGUUCUCCAAAUUGCUAAUUAAUGUAAAGUCAGCUUCAUAUAUUGAGAUGUUUAAUCAAUUGGCAGAUUGCUGUCAAUAAAUAUGUGUCUUAAGCGGUUUGUAAUAGACAGGCUAAUGAAGUACCCUCUGUGAGUGUCAGAGCUAUUGGGAAAAGUCUCUCUCCCUUCUGGGCAUCUUGCCAUAUGUUAUUAGUCUCCCUCUGAUGCAGGGAAGAAUGCCCUUCACCACUGCCGGUCUCACCUCUGGAUAGAGUAGCUGGAGAACCAGGAAGUGAGUUUCAUUUUCUAGGAGCAGUUAAUCAAUCAGAAGUUAGGUGGAAAGGGGGGCUACUGGCAACAUUAACAAUAUUAAAAGUAAGAGUUCUCAUGAAUUCUCCCAGGAGCCACUGCUCUUCCUCUUACCCUAAGCGGCUUGAGGUGACCUCUGAAAAUGGUUCGCUAUUUGCUUGACCCAGAAAACCCUACGAAUCACGUAAAUCAAGAGGUUCAAAUCUUCGUGUUCACUUUAAGAAUGUACGUGAAACUGCCCAGGCCAUCAAGGGUAUGCGUAUCUGAAAAGCCACCAAGUAUCUGAAAGACAUCACUUUACAGAAGCAGGGUGUGCCAUUCCGUUGCUACAGUGUGGAGUUGGUAGGUGUGCCCAGGCCGAACAGUGGGGCUGGGCACAGGGUCGGUGGCCCAAGAAGAGUGCUGAAUUUUUACUGCACAUGCUUAAAAAUGCAGAGAGUAAUGCUGAACUCAAGGGUUUAGAUGUUGAUUCUCUGGUCAUUGAGCACAUCCAGGUGAACAAGGCCCCCAAGAUGCGGCAUAGAACGUACAGGGCUCAUGGUCGGAUUAACCCAUACAUGAGCUCUCCCUGCCACAUUGAGAUGAUCCUCACUGAAAAAGAGCAGAUUGUUCCUAAACCAGAAGAGGAGGUUGCACAGAAGAAAAAGAUAUCCCAGAAGAAACUGAAGAAACAAAAAACUUAUGGCCCGGGAGUAAAUUCUGCACAGAAUAAAUGCAAAUAAAAAAAAAAAACAAAACAAAAAACAAUAUUAAAAGUAGCUAACGUUUCUUGAGCAUUUACUCCAUGCUGGGCUCUGAUUCCGGUACCACGUUUAACUUCACGGCAGCCCUACAAGAAACAGCACCAUUUCUCAAAUCUUUCAGAUCCUUUUGUGAUCAUCGUUUUGGGCCUGCCACUCCAAUCCUGAAACAGAUUUGUAGGUAACAUAACCUACAUGUGUCGUCUUUUAAGAAGUCAUUCUCAUUUUCCAACUGUCACAUAAUGGAGAAAUAAAAGAGGAGUAUGGUUUAUUACUGAAUACCUUCAAUAUAUAAAUGCUCGCUCCUGGCUACCCUAGAGGAUGGGGAAUAGUAGUCAGAUGUUUGCAUCUGUGCAUGGAAGUCCUCUCUGUGACUUUGGCAGCUCUGACGGCAGGCUGAUAGAGUUAUGACAGACUAGCUACUCACGUGCUUGAGGUGGUCUCGAUGUCAGCGACAUGACUUUCCAAGAUGGUGAACAGUUCUUAGCAAAGCUCCAAAACUAUAGCAAAAUACAGCCUCAUCUCGAUUUGCACAAAAAUUGCAUUGCUGGAAUGUCGAGUAUACAUUGAUACUGGACAGAAAAUACUUCGUGUUCCUCUACAAGACAAAUUUUGGUUCUAGGGUUUCCACCCACACAAAUGUCCUGUGGACAUUGAGAACUCCUGUAAUGCUGGAGACCAUUCUAUAAAGGGAGCAGGUCUGGCUUUAUUGAAAGACAUGGCAUCCUGAACCUUCAUCCAGUAAAUGCUACUAUAGCCCUCCAGUCAUUAGGACAACCACAAACACCCCCACCGAUUUCUAGAAAGUCUCCAAGGGGUCAUGGCCACUCCAGGAGGGAAGGAUACUCUGCUUUCAGCUCUGUCUUUCACAAGUGGCAACUGAAACUCAGUAGUUUUCCCAAAGGCACAUAGCCAGGAAAUAGUAGAGUUGGGAUCUAGACUAUUCCCCUUGACUCCAGAGCCCUUGCAUUUAACCCAUGUUGAAACACAGGUAGGUUUUCUGGGUCAUUUCUCAGAACUGUGACGUGAGUUUUAGUGAAAACCCCCUGCUGACUAUCUCCUGUGUCCAGGUGUUUUGAUGCAUGAUCGAAUGUUCACAAUAAACCUGCCAUGUAAUUCUGUCUAUUCCCUUAACUCUAAUUGGGAAGCUUGAGUCUGAGCCUUUUCCCCAAGGUUGCUCAGCCUAUGAGAAACUGGAUUUCACAUUCGUUUUGACUUCAAAGAGCAGGCUCCUGCCCCCACUUCUUAGAGCUGGGCCAUCAGGAAUAGGGAGCAUGUAUAACCUGUUGAUACCAUUCACCCAUCUCUUCCAGACGUCCUUUUACUUUCUCAUUACCCGACCAAAUAAUUGGCCAGAAGAGGCCACUUUUGAGAGUGAAAGCAGACACCGUUAUACUAGGACACGGAUGUGGGUCACUCAGUGGUUCCCCCUUGUAGGGACGGGAAGAAAGGAAUGCUCACCAGUUCAGUCCUGAUGAUCACACAGAGCUAGACAAUGUCAUAUGCUGCCCAGGCAGAACACACUGGGGGCUCUCUUCUCACCGGAACUGUGCUUUGCCGCCCACAGUGACCAUGUGACCAUCUUGAAAGGGACAGUACCUUUUCUCUUUUGAGAUCUUUCCCAGUUUAAAAAGUCAACAUCCCAGCCUUUCCAAGAGCACAGUAGGUAUGGACAGGCAAGCCUUGAAGAUUGCCCCUCAGAGCGUCACGAAAAUAGGUGGGGGGCAGGCCUGGGGACCCUCCACUGGACCCGCAGGGGACAGAAGCUCUUUGUAGGUGGUGACGGGGGCAGAGAGCUGCUUCCUGUAGGGAGCCUUGUCUCCUCCUUGGGAGCAGGACAAGAGAAGUCUUCUUUCUGCUUACACGUAGAGCUUGUGCUCAAGGAGUACAGUGACGAAUGCUGCCUGAAUUUCCCCCAAGCUUUUGCACUUGUCUUUAUUAUAUUAAUAAAUACUAUGCAGCUAAUGUUCCCAUCUGGCAGGGCAGAGAAAAGAGCAUAAAAAUGAAGCCGUGGUUACAGCUCUUAAAUACUAAUGAAGGUGGUAUCUACUUGGCAUGGUAGAAAGGUGGGUCUUUAUUUUAGAGUUCUUAAUUAAGAACUGCCAAGUGACUAAUAUUAAUUAGGAAGCCAGCUGUAUCCUUCAGUUUCAUGGUAUAUUUCUUCUUAGGAACCUGGGAAGGGAGUAAAUCUGAGCCUCUUUUAAUCAAUCAGCGCACGAGCAAUUAUGCAGUAAGUAUACUUUGUAGAUACAAGGCCAGGCUAUGUGGAUAGAGAUUUAUAAGAUACCGUCUUGGCCUUCUGGGUCUCCACCGGUUCGAGGAGUGUGCACCAGCAUUGAGCCAGUGUCAGGACAGCGAAGUCAAAUGCCCCAGAGGGUAUCUAGGUAGAACAGGAUGGCCACAGUGCGGUGGGAGGGAGAUUUUUCAAACCACGCAGUGCCCCGCCUCUACUAGGGUCUCAGUGGCAAGCCAGUGUGAGCUCUGGGAGAGCAUCGUGUCCCCAGUUACAGUGGCGUGGACCAAAAGGUUGAGGACAGGCUGUCAGGCAGCGGUCCUGGGUAGAAAUCGGAGGGCUACAGCUGGGCUCUGAAGAGGAGUAGACGAUUUCCAAUGGUUGCGGAGCCCUGGGCAGCCCCAGAGGAGGAAGGAAAGGGAGCGGGCCGGCUGGACCAGAAAGGGGAGUCCUGGGCAUCACCCUGGCACGUGCACUCCAGCUCCUCAGUGCCUAGCCUGUCCACCAGCUGGUGCAGGAGUGAUGCCCUUGGAGCUGCUCCUGCCUGCACACACUCAAGCGUGGCCUCCGGCGGAUUCCUGGUACCCCGAGCACGAGGGCAGGGGAGGCAGUUGGAGCAGAGACUCGGUGCGCUGUGUGUUCCUGGCGUGACCACUCAGCUCCUUAAUAAAAUGGUACCUGGAAUAAGGGGCUUAAUGGGAAGCACCUCAAAAUCUCUGGCCCCGUGUCUGCAUUCUAAGUCUCUUUUGACAUUGAUGUGUUAAUAUCCAUUGAAUUCUAGUUCCUUGAGUCACUAGCAAUUGAGGAAGGAUUUUAUGAAGAUUAAGUUGUAAUGGGCUUUCUUUUGACUUUGCCUGACAGAGUGUUAAUUUUUGCAGUGGUGUUUUUUUUUUUUUUUCCAAGCUCGAAUUGUAGUCCGAUCUGCAAUUCUCUCUUCAUUUCAUACCUAGGAAUUCAGAUUGCUGAGUUGUAUCUGCAGUUAAACUGACACCUUCGUGAAAGCGCCGGAUCUAGUGCUGUGGCGGGUGCAGCCUUCCCGAUGCAGAAAUCUGCAAGUCUCCACCCCGCUUCACUGACUUUCCUGGGGAGCCCUUCCUUCACAGGAUCCACGGAGACCUCUUGGGCUAGAAUCCUUAACUCUGAGCCUGAGAUGUGGUCACUGGGGAGGGCUUAUUCUCUGUAGAUGUGAACUCCUCCGUAGGGGGCUGAGUAACGUACGCUUCUCUCUCCUCACACUAUGCCAUUGAACUUGGAGGUUUUACAUCUCUUCCGAGUGCUAAUUUCCAUCCAGGUCACACCUGCGUGUGUGUGUGUGUGUGUGUGUAUGUGAACUCUCUCUAGCCCUAGUUUAUAAACAGCGUUUUUUUCUACACCCAGGUAUCCAGAACAGUCCUCUUCCCAACUUUCACAGGGCAUUUUCCAGAAUCCUACCUGCUGCUUUUGGUAAAGUCCUGAUCAGUUCCUGUCUUUGGAACGCUGCCCCAGUAGCCUGGUUCCGAAAUCUCUGAUUAUUACUAAAAGCUCAGUUCCCUUCAGAGAAAAAGAAACUUUGGAAAUAGUAGGUCUGUGUUUUUCUUUCCAUUACGUAACUUGGGGAAUUUUACUAACCUCACGUCAGCGUCAGCCUCGAAUGGAAUCUGUUAAAGAGCUACAUCCGAAUGGUAUCUGUACAAAGAAUAAUGUGUAUGGAAACACUAUUCUCUAGGAGAGUGACUUUCGCCAUAUCCAGAUAGCACCUAAGUUGUUAUAAGGUUUAAUGGUUUUCCUUAAAUCAAUUCACAUUCUUAAAUUUAUUUUUAAAUGAAACAGUUUAGCAGUAUUCCAGAUGAUAAUUGGCAUCACAAUUAAUAAAAAUACGUACGUAGUGAUUAAAAUGUGAAGCUUGCAUGUGUACAUGUGCAGUCCUCUCUCAGAACACCUUUGAGAGACAUAACUUGGGGGAAAGAUGUUGUAUCCGAGGGCGCUCAGGUGGGGUCAGAGAAACAGACCCACUUCUUCCUGGCUUUAAUAUUAAGGAAGGGCUUCAGGUUUAAUUUUACUUACAAGUUUUGUUUACAUCAGGAUUUUUCAACCUCAAUAAUUGACUUUUGGGCUAGAUAAUUCUUUGUUGUUAAAGACUGUCUUGUGCGUUGUAGGAUGGUUAGCAGCAUCCCUGGCCUCUAGCCACUAGAUGCCAGCCCCACCCCAUCCCCCACCACCAGCUGGGACAACCAAAGAUGUUUCUAGACAUUGCCAAAAAGGCCCCUGGUGGAGGGGGAAAUCGGGCCUGGUCGAGUACCACUGUGUUUACAUAUAAGCCAUCAUGUUGCUUUUACUGUCCUUGUUGUUGUUGUUGUAUUAAAUUGUCAUUUUGUUAGGUGUGCGUAUUUAAAAGAUACUGCAGGGGCGCCUGGGUGGCUCAGUCGUUAAGCGUCUGCCUUCGGCUCAGGUCAUGAUCCCAGGGUCAUGGGAUCGAGCCCCGCAUCGGGCUCCCUGCUCGGCGGGAAGCCUGCUUCUCCCUCUCCCACUCCUCCUGCUUGUGUUUCCUCUCUCGCUGUGUCUCUCUCUCAGAUAAAGAAAUAGAAUCUUUAAAAAAAAAAAAAAAUAAAAAAAAUAAAAGACACUGCAAUUUUUGAGACCGCGCAUGUAACUCCCUUAUACCCCAAAUGGAAGCGGCCCUGGCGUCUCUUGAGACCUGCUCGGGGCCCACCUGACAGUCCUCUCUCUGUAAGGGCACGUUGGCUCUCCCCAGUGGUUGUCACUUUCUCAAGGGCUCUUCUUGGUGAACAAAAGACUAGAUCUUCCUUCCCCUCCCCAUGUGUUUCUGACUUACAUGCAGGUACGCUUCAUUAUGGAACAUGACUUCAUGUGUUACCACAUCAGCAGAGGCCUACAUUUUUGUGAGAUACUGUUUUAAAUGUAUGAUCUCUUUAAUUUUAACAAAAGUCUGUAAUGAUGCUGCUUAAUAUUAUUUAUCCCUGUUUUUUUCCCCCCAUUGAGAAAAACUGAAGCUUGGCUAGGUCACGUGGCUUGCCCAAAACCACACUGCUAAAGAUGCUCUUCUGUUAAAACUGAAUAUUGGAAGCAGUCUGUCCCCAAAACAAAGAAAUGUUUGUCUUAAAGUUGAAAUGCAGUGUGGAUUCACAGGUAGCCUGUCAGUGAUUGUGUUUAUGAUUUGUGGCAACUGCCGAUGCAGUAACAUCUGUUUAAAAUUAUAAACCUAGGGACGGCCCACUGGCUCAGUCAGUAGUAGAGCCUGUGACUCUGGAUCUCGGAGUUGUGAGUUCAAGCCCCACGUUGGGUAUAGAGAUUACCCAAAAGUAAAAAAAUCUUAAAAAAAUAAAAAAAGUACAAAUCUAAUUACAACAUAAAGUAUGAUUACUAUUUAAAAAAAUACUUCAGAUGAAAACUUAAAUUUACAAAAAUGCUGGUAGAAAUUAUGUUGAGGUAAGAGACUUCUGGCAGUUUUCCUUUUAGCCCAGUUCUGAUUUCUAAAUGGGUUGUAAUGUAUUUCUUUUUCUUUUGGAAAUGAAAUUUGGAAGCUAAAAAUGAAGACAGAUGUAGCUGGGAUUACUGUCAGAGUUAAGUUUCUCUCUCCACUUCUAGCCAGGGAGCGUCCAUAUUUGGCACAUUACAAAUAAAUGUCUGUGUGCCCCUGCGUCUGGGGUUGGCGGUCUUUCCGAGUCGAUUUGCUGUACGCUGGGGUGGAGGGCUGGCCUGCCACCUUUUGCUGAAGGAAACACGCAGGACACUGCCGUGGGGUACCCAGCCAAAGUACGUACUGACGGAAACAGGCAGUGGGGCUGCUCCUCCCUCCGUUUGUCGUUAACUAUUUCUUUCUUAAUAUGAGUGCAUCUGGGAAGAGGGGAAGCCUUACCUGCAAGACAAGAGGGCAGGGGACUUGCCACAGGCCUAGAAUA